AUGAAAUUAAAAUUAUUAAAUAUAAUUUUAUCAAUAAUAAAUAAACUUAAUAAUAAUAAUAAUAUUAUUAUUAAUAAUCUAUUAGAUUCAUUAAUAAAUAAGAAAUUAUUAUUAAAGAAUAUAUUAUUAGAUAUAAAUAAUAAAAAAAUAAAUAAUAUAAAAAGAAUAUUAAAUAAUAAUAAUAUAAAUAUUAAUAAUAAAUUACAAUAUUUAAAUAAUAUAAAUAAUUGAAAUCUACAAAUUUAUAAUUAUAAUAAAAAUAUAGAAAUUAUAAAUACUAUAAAUGAUAAAUUAAUUAAUAAAUUAUUAUAUAAAAUAAUAACUUUAAAAUUAAAUAAUAUAAACCCCGCGGGACCAAUCCGGUGAACAACCGGAUUGGCGCCCGCGGGGAAUAUUAAUAAAAUUAUUAUAAGUAAACUUAUUAAUCAACAUAGUUUAAAUAAAUUAAAUAUUAAAUUUUAUUAUUAUAAUAAUGAUAUUAAUAAUAAUAAUAAUAAUAAUAAUAAUAAUUAUUAUAUAAAUAUAAUAAAUAAAUUAAUAAAUAUUAUAAAUAAUAAUAUAAAUAAUAAUUUAUGUAAUAUUUUAAGUUAUUAUUAUAAUAAAAAAGUAACUAUUGAACCUAUUAAAUUAUCAUAUAUUUAUUUAAAUAGUGAUAUUUUUAGUAAAUAUAUUAGUUUAAAUGAUAUAGAUAAAUAUAAUAAUGGUAUCUUAACUAAUUAUCAACGUAUAUUAAAUAAUAUUAUGCCUAAAUUAAAUGAUCAUAAUAUUUCUAUAAAUUAUAUUAAUAAUAUUAAUAAUAUUAAUAAUAAUAAAUAUAAUAAUAUAAUUAAUUUAUUAAAUAAUAAUAAUAAUAAUAAUAAUAAUAAUAUUAAUAAUAAUAAUAAUUAUAAUAAUAAUAAUAAUAAUUAUAUUGGUAAUAUUAAUAAUAUUUAUAAUAAUAUAACUAUUGAUAAUAUUCCUAUAGAUAUUUUAAUAUAUAAAUAUUUAGUUGGUUGAUCUAUUAAAUUUAAAGGUAGAUUAAGUAAUAAUAAUGGUAGAACUAGUACACUUAAUUUAUUAAAUGGUACUUUUAAUAAUAAAAAAUAUUUAUGAAGUAAUAUUAAUAAUAAUUAUAAAUUAAAUUAUAUCCCUUCUAAUCAUAAUUUAUAUAAUAAUUCUAAUAUUAAUAAAAAUGGUAAAUAUAAUAUUAAAGUUAAAUUAAACUUUAUUUAA
rnacentral:rRNA from 1 species